CAAUUAGUUAUAGGAGCAAUUUUUAGGCUUUCAGUUAAUAUACUGUGUUGUGGUAGCUAGGGUGAUUGGUUUCGAUGAACUCUGAUGGAUUUAUGUUAGAUAAGAGUACAUUUCAAACCUGAUAGAGUGUGUCUGUGUAAGACUUACUGUCUAAAGGCUUUAAUAUUCCUUUGACAUGUAGUAUUAUCAUCCCCAAUAUCUAUAUAGUAUAUGCUGUAGGACUUAAUCGGCCAUAAAGUAAUCAAUCAAGCAUGAAUUAUUCAUUCAAUCAAAUUUUAAAAGUUCACCAAUAAUGAAACUGUUUGAUAACUACCUACAGUCUUGUUGGUAUUAUGAAAAUGUUGAUAAAUCAGUUAUUGUAUGAAAUGAAUGAUAAGAUAACAGGCCCGUAGCCAGGAAUUUCCAAAGGGGGUUCGUUGGACUAACAAACUCGACUUUAACAGUCACAAUUCGAACAGAACAUCGACUUUUAACAGUGCUUAUUUGUUUUCAAGGGGGGUCCCCCGAACCCCCCCUGGCUACGGGUAUGGAUAAAGUGGAUUAUCAAUGAGACAGCAACCAUACAACACAAUGAAAAGCAAGACAGGGGCAUAUUGUAAGAGGUGUCUCGUGAGUGGAGUGAGUGUCUUAAUGCAACAAAUUACCUGUAUUUUUCUUCUAAUGCAGUGACAGUCGAAACAUAUUUUACUGCAUUGCUGCUGUUAGUGCAUCACUCACAGGGUUCAAGAUCUAUAAAUGUAAUGCUUCAGUCAUAAAUGUAAUUGUAUAAAAAAAUAGUGUUAAAAUUAUAUCAGAUAACUGAAAUAAUACAUUAAAAGGGAUAACAUGUAGUAAACAAAAAAAACUAAAUAAAAAAACAGCAGUGCAACAGACCCUGGGCUUUUGAACCAUUCCUUCAAUAAAAUGUAAUUUAUUUCUCCAUAAUACUUUUAAUAAGUUAAUAUUGGGAAUUUUGAAUGUAACUGUAACCUCUAGGUGAGUAACCAUUAAUCAACUCUUUUUUGUGUAGCAUUUGUAAGAAUGUCUUAAACUAUGCAGCAAAUCUUCAGACAGAUUACAUAUUUGAUUAAAAUAUCAAAGUUAUAGAAAGUGAAGGAUUGCAUCACAAUCUCUGAUGUCAACACAUUAUUGUUAUCAGAAGAACUUAUAGAUACUACAAAUGUGCAUCAUUUGCAUCAUUUCUAUUUUAUAUAUCUGCAUGUCAAUCACUGACGUAAACAUGUUAUGCUAGAUCAGUUUGGACACAGACAAAGACCAAAUAUUCUUUAGUGGAUGGUAUUAAUAAACUUAUCAUAGAUCUGCAGACACCUCAAUAAUACUUGAAAUAUGUUUGAUCUUUGUUUUGAUAGUUACAUAUAUCAUUAAUGGGGAGGAAAUAACAAAUAUACAUUUAAGUCUUUAUGGAAGCUUGUAACUCUUGAAAGUGACCAUUAUCAAAAUAAUGGGAAAGAUGGUAAAAUCAGGGGCGGAUCCAGCCAUUUUUAAACAGGAAAAAGGGGGUUCCAACUAUAUGUCCCUUUUCAAAUGCAUUGGCAGUCCUAAGAAAAAAAGGGGGGUUCCAACCCUUGGAAUCCUCCCCCCUGGAUCUGCAACUGGAUAAUUGUUUAACAUCUAAGCAUUUAUUUAGUUCAAGAACCCCCCUUUCUGCAUCCACUUAUUUGUGUAAAAGGAGUAAUUGAAUAAUUCAGGGCAAUGUGAUAUUCAAAUUUUGAAAGCUUUUUCAAAAAAACGUAAAUUUUAUUAAAAAAUAAAUUU
rnacentral:lncRNA from 1 species